rnacentral:rRNA from 1 species
CAGUAGCCGCGGUAAUACUGAGGGUGCAAGCGUUAAUCGGAAUUACUGGGCGUAAAGCGCACGCAGGCGGUUUGUUAAGUCAGAUGUGAAAUCCCCGGGCUCAACCUGGGACCUGCAUUUGUGACUGUAUAGCUAGAGUACGGUAGAGGGGGAUGGAAUUCCGCGUGUAGCAGUGAAAUGCGUAGAUAUGCGGAGGAACACCGAUGGCGAAGGCAAUCCCCUGGACCUGUACUGACGCUCAUGCACGAAAGCGUGGGGAGCAAACAGGAUUAGAUACCCCAGUAGUCCCUGUCUCUUAUAC